rnacentral:rRNA from 1 species
GGUAGCACAGAGGAGCUUGCUCCUUGGGUGACGAGUGGCGGACGGGUGAGUAAUGCUUAGGAACAUGCCUUUGCGAGGGGGAUAACUAUUGGAAACGAUAGCUAAUACCGCAUAAUGUCUACGGACCAAAGGGGGCUUCGGCUCUUGCGCAAAGAGUGGCCUAAGCGAGAUUAGCUAGUUGGUAGGGUAAAGGCCUACCAAGGCGACGAUCUCUAACUGUUCUGAGAGGAAGAUCAGUCACACUGGAACUGAGACACGGUCCAGACUCCUACGGGAGGCAGCAGUGGGGAAUAUUGCACAAUGGGGGCAACCCUGAUGCAGCCAUGCCGCGUGUGUGAAGAAGGCCUUCGGGUUGUAAAGCACUUUCAGUGGGGAGGAAAGCGUGGUGGUUAAUACCCAUCAUGUGUGACGUUACCCACAGAAGAAGGACCGGCUAACUCCGUGCCAGCAGCCGCGGUAAUACGGAGGGUCCGAGCGUUAAUCGGAAUUACUGGGCGUAAAGCGCACGCAGGCGGUUUGUUAAGCUAGAUGUGAAAGCCCCGGGCUCAACCUGGGAAUUGCAUUUAGAACUGGCAGGCUAGAGUCUUGGAGAGGGGAGUGGAAUUCCAGGUGUAGCGGUGAAAUGCGUAGAUAUCUGGAGGAACAUC